rnacentral:rRNA from 1 species
AUUGAACGCUGGCGGCAUGCUUUACACAUGCAAGUCGAACGGUAACAGGCCGCAAGGUGCUGACGAGUGGCGAACGGGUGAGUAAUGCAUCGGAACGUGCCCAGUCGUGGGGGAUAACGCAGCGAAAGCUGUGCUAAUACCGCAUACGAUCUAUGGAUGAAAGCGGGGGACCGUAAGGCCUCGCGCGAUUGGAGCGGCCGAUGUCAGAUUAGGUAGUUGGUGGGGUAAAGGCCCACCAAGCCGACGAUCUGUAGCUGGUCUGAGAGGACGACCAGCCACACUGGGACUGAGACACGGCCCAGACUCCUACGGGAGGCAGCAGUGGGGAAUUUUGGACAAUGGGCGAAAGCCUGAUCCAGCAAUGCCACGUGCAGGAAGAAGGCCUUCGGGUUGUAAACUGCUUUUGUACGGAGCGAAAAGGUCCUUUCUAAUACAAGGGGCUCAUGACGGUACCGUAAGAAUAAGCACCGGCUAACUACGUGCCAGCCGCCGCGGUAA